UGAAGACUAAGACAGACAAAGCCAGCUGCUGCCUUCAAGGAGCUGACAUCCCAGGGCAGUCUGAGUGACAAACACGCGCCAGGCAGAGAAGUACUCAGUGCUCCCGUGGGCAUGGAGAAUGGACUGGAGAUGGACCCAGGCUGUACCGAGGAAACCAGUUCAGCGGUGUCUUUGGGAGCCUUGGGGAGAGACGCAGGAAGACACGGAUUCACCUAGAAGAAAACAGGGAGCCUGACCCAACAGAAUGCGCAGGUGCCCGCCAUCUCCCCGAAGCCGGGAGGAAAAUGACUCAUCACGGACAUCCUCAUCCAGUCAUGAUUUCAGCUGAAACCAAGAUAUGGUACUGGUGGGAUAAGAUCGCUGAGGCUGCUCUUGGACUGCUCACUUCAUCAGGAUGAUUCAGCUCCUGGAAAUCGUCAUUGGGGAAAUAGAAGUGAACGCUUACAUCACAGGGUCUAUUUGGGAAUUCAUAAAAAUCCACUCUGAGAGUUGUUACGGAGGGCUGAGCACAUGAGAGCCACAGAGCCAUCCCUGACACUGCCACGUGCACUACACCACUGCAUCCCAGCGCAGGUGUGAGAGCACGGUGGUCUAUUGCAGGGUCACCGUUCACUCCGUGACGGGCACUGGAGGCGGGUGUUACUGUCUGCGCACGGGGUCUUCAAAACAUCUACCGAAGAUGUGAAUUGUGAAAAAGAACCAUGCCUGGAUUUCAACAUUUUUUUUUUGCCCCAAAAUAAACCUUUA